rnacentral:lncRNA from 1 species
AUUCUGUGUUUUAGUUUUGAAAUUUUUGCUUUUUCAAAUUGAGGCCUUAAAUCAUUUGGAUGAAAAAUAGUGGCUUUAGAAUUGAGAGAUUUUUUCUCAUCACUUUCUUUUAACUCUUUUUUAGAGUUUUGUUUGGAUGAAAGAUAGUGGCGGAUCCUACUUUUGUUUCAACUGUUAUUUACAAACUUGGAGCACGGUUCUCUCUAGAAGAUAUGGGUCAGCUUCCCUUUUCCUUGAGUGUUGAGGUCAUUCCCACAAUUGUAGGUUUAUUCGUCUCUCGACACUCUUGACUUGCUGUCCAAAAUCAAUAAGAGUGGUGCUAAGGACAUAACAACUCCACUGUCCACUAGCACUAGGUUGCAACUGGUUGAUGGAACAUCUUUAGUCAAUAGCACAGAAUUUCGACAUGUGAUCGGUGCUCUCUAAUACUUGUCACUCACUUGUCCAAACAUCUCAUUUGCUGUCAACGAAUUAUCUCAGUUUAUGCAUAAACCAACAUUCACACAUUGGACAGCAGCAAAACUUCUCCUUCACUACUUGAAGUAAACAAUUUUCAUGGUCUUCAUCUCCGCAAGGGUGUGAAUUUAGCUCUCACCCCAUACUCUGAUGCAGAUUGGGCUAGUAAUCUUGAUUAUCGUACAUCUACGGCCUAUGUCAGUUUUCUUGGUUCCAAUCCUAUAUUGUGGAGCUCAAAGAAAUAGCGAGCUGUUGUCCGCUCAUCUGUUGAGGCUGAAUAUAGAGCACUUGCAAAUGCUGCUUCUAAAACGCUAUGGCUGCUUUCAUUGUUUCAUGAACUUGGACUUCCUUUCAAGUCUCCACCAACGUUUCUCUGUGAUAAACCUUAGAGUGAUACACCUCAAUUUUCAAUCCCAUCUAGCAUUCUCGGCUAAUGCAUGUCCAGAUAGAUCUCCACUUUGUGCAUGACAUGGUUUAAUGAGGCACAUUACAUGUUCGUCCUGUCAACACUGAAGAUCAACUUGUGGAUCUUCUAACCAAACAAUUGUCACGGCAAUGCACGAAGCUUCUUUGGAACAAGAUUGGCCUUGUCAAUGGCAGCCCCAUCUUUUGGGGACGUGUUAAGGAUGAUAGCACAAAUCAAGCAUCAAUCAACAAAGCUAACUCUUAGCCUAUACGAGUAAAUCAAGGUUACAGUAAUCAAGCUCUAAUCAAGACAAAUUAUCCUAUGCUAAAAUUAUGGCAGCACCUUCACGUGUAAUCUGCAGUAGUCAACACAUAUUACUAAAUUCAAGGCUGUUGCUUUUUGUAAACAUUACAAAAUUGUAG